rnacentral:lncRNA from 1 species
GAAAGACUCUGCCUGCGGCCAGGACUGAACUCUAGAGUUUCUCCCCCGGGCCGUGUAGCCAAUCGCUGGAGCUCCACUCAGCCCCAGACCUCUCCCAGGAGAUCUCCGGUAGUCUCGAUCCCCUCCUGGACGAAAACCAGGUCAGGGGAGCCGGCGGCGGCAGCUGGUGGGCCAGCGCGCCGCUUGGGAUUCUCUCCGGGGGGCCCCCAGGCUUUGUGGAUGCUGGACGGGACCUCUCUGCUAAUGGCAGACUCUAAGCAAUUAUGCUGUCAGCUCAGGGAAUGUGGCUCCUGAAAUCUUAAAAUCAGCAGCAGGCAUGGUCCCCUUCAAAUGAGAAUGCGUUACUCUGGUGGAUUAUAAUAACAGUGUCCAUUCAUUCUUCCUAUCUAUCUUUGCCAGGCAACAGCUAUACCAAGGAAGGAAAGGAAACGUACCUCCUGAAAGCCACAAACUUCGCAUCUUGUUUUAUUACCAACCUCAUUAUACAGAUGAGGAAAUUGAGGAUCAGGAAGAAUAAGAAAUUUGGCUAAGGUCAUAUGGAAAUUUACAGACCUGAGAUACGAACCAAGGUCCAGCUGGCUUGCUAGUCUAUCUCCUUUGUGCCACACCAUGUCACAUCAAGGAGCAUUAAGCACUGCUCUUCCAUUGUUCUUUGCAAGAGGGAAACUCAGUUUCUGUACGAUAAUACUUGUCACUGUAUAAAUUAACCUCAGAUAUGUUACUUUUCCCGUAUAUCUAUAAACAUUUUAGACUCAUUUGUUACACUUUUUUGUAUGAGUGUGUAUGUAUGUCUGUCUUUAACAGCAGUGAAUUAUUCAAAUAA